rnacentral:rRNA from 1 species
GCCUACGGGAGGCAGCAGUGGGGAAUAUUGGACAAUGGGGGCAACCCUGAUCCAGCAAUGCCGCGUGGAUGAUGAAGGCCUUCGGGUUGUAAAGUCCUUUCGGCGGGGAAGAUGAUGACGGUACCCGCAGAAGAAGCCCCGGCUAACUCCCGUGCCAGCAGCCGCGGUC